UUUGAAUCUCAGGCAUGAAAAUUAAGAGUCUGAAACAAAUGUCUUCCCACCACCUAGUAAGUGUUACCAGUAUCCCAGCCUUUAAUGGAAGUCCCCACUGCCCCUGUGCUGCCCCCUUGAUUCUGUCAUUCUGUAUUUUCAGGUAUAUUACUUGUGCCUCUCUGUUUAUUUCAACUAAAUGUAAAAAUAACGUGUUUAGCUACAAGUAACAGAAAACCUGAAUUGCAGGGGCUUACACAAUAAGUAUGCUUUUAUUUCCUCAACAAGACGCCUGGAGGUAGGUGGUUCCUGGGUAAGUUUAGCAUUUCUAUGACAUCAAGACACACGACUGCCAUCUCAUUCAGUGUUUGGCCUUCUCCUCGUGGUCACAAGAUGGUUGCCACAGCUCCAGGCCCUAUAUCACGACCAAGAGGCAGAAAGGAGGGUCACAUACACGUGUUUUGCUUGUGUGCCUCCCACCUUCGAUCAGGGAGGAAAACUCCUUCCCAGAGACCUCCCAGCAGUGUUCUGUUAGCACCGCCUCAGUGGCAGAGGGGGCUUGGAACAUGAGCCUCUAGCGUUUUCACUCUAGAAUGGGAGGAGGGCAAAAGGGAAGGGGGAUUUGGAGAAGAGCCAGACAACAGUGUUUGCCAUGGGAUCAUGCCUAUUGAUCUUAGUCCUUCAACCUCCAAUUUGAAAACAGAGAUGAACCAUCUGUUUUUCCCUUCCUGGGGAGUUGCAAGUUAUGAAUAAAUUAUGCUGCCAGA
rnacentral:lncRNA from 1 species